CUCGUAGGCGGCUCAGUAAGUCGGCCGUGAAAGCCCGGGGCUCAACCCCGGGACGCCGGUCGAUACUGCUGUGGCUAGGGUCCGGUAGAGGAGAGUGGAAUUCCCGGUGUAGCGGUGAAAUGCGCAGAUAUCGGGAGGAACACCAGUAGCGAAGGCGGCUCUCUGGGCCGGUACCGACGCUGAGGAGCGAAAGCUAGGGGAGCAAACA
rnacentral:rRNA from 1 species